rnacentral:lncRNA from 1 species
GGGUGAUACGGUUACCUUGAUCAUUGGCUAUGAUUUCCACAUGGCCAUUCUUGUAAACACCAACACAUGAAUAGGUUGUUCCAAGAUCUAUCCCAAUUACAGUUCCCAAUUUUGUAGCUUCCUCCUUCGCAAUGGAAAUUGCAAAUAGACAUCCUGUGAUAAAACCUCUAAAGGUUAAUUACAAUAUUAAAACUCACCCUAGUAAAAUUGAUUUCAAAUGAAUUGUGUAAUUGCUUUACAUCAACACAUUAUUCUAAAAUAUAUAUAUUUUUAAAAUGAACCAAUUACUCCAAAUUAGGCAAAUGCUAGCCGAAAACACAUUCAAAUCACAAAUAUGAAAAAACAAAUACCUCGAAAACGCAUGCAAUGACAGCAAAAUCUUAAGCAAAUUAUACAGAACCCAAGCAAACUUACCUCAAGCUCCUUUUCAGUGACCAAUAUACUACUUAGUAAUCAAUCCCUCAGCUUACUGAUAAUAAACGUCCAUUAAUAAAUAUCUAGCCACAACGGUAAGAUUGUUUGUCUUUUGACCCGAAAGUCGUGGAUUCAAUUAUGGAAACAGUUUAAUAUCUGUUUAAACAAUGCCAAUGGUUGCAUACAUCUAUCCUCCAUUUAUCUUGGAAAGUAAGUAGGAGGCUCGUGUACUGGGCCACACUUUCCUUUUAUCUCGGAAAUAACUAAUCCAUAUUAAUUAAUUUCAUAGAUACAUAAUAUAUGACUAUAAUACCAAUUCCCUAGCACAUGUUGAGAUCCUGAAAUAACAACUUUGCAAUAUAAAAAUACAAAAAAUAAAUAAAUGAAUAAAAACGCCACUGGAGUGUUGAACUAUUUUAACAAUCCUAAACAAGUUCAUCUAAGAUCUCACCAGAUCUAUAAUCAUUCAACACAACCAAUCACAUCAGAUCCAAACAAUCAAAAAAAUCAAGUUAAAAUCAAACAAAAUCUCUGCAUUGAGCAAAAAAUGAUUAGAUCCAAUAAUGGCAAUAGAAAAUUACCGAAUGAAAUGAUUGCUAGAACAAUCAAAGAUCCUCGUGCCCACGAAUGAGCCAUGAUUCUCUAACUUUUCUUCUUCUUCUUCUACGUAGUAGUGUUUACGAUUACGAUUUGAAUGAUAAAGUUAGAAGGUGAAAUUGUGAUUCAGUUUUGUUCUAUGGUGCGUUAAGCUUAGACGUUUUUAUAGUGUUAUUGGCUUACACCGAUUCUCACGAAACUCGGUCUUUCGAGUUGAAGCAUUACGCUCGAACAUGUCAUUUAUGAUGACGUGGACCAAUCAUAGUUCUACGGUUUGUUGUUCUGGCCAAUCAUGUGAGUCCUGCUGUUGGGGUGAUCUCGGCCGUCCAUCUUAUAUGCCUAUCUCAACGUGCAAACUUUUUUUGUAUACUCUAUUUAUGCUUUUUAUUUAUUGUUUAUGGUUUUUUGGUAAUUCAAAAUUAGAAAUAUUUUUUACCCAAAUGUUCCUCCUCUUUUUAUAAUGGCUUAGAGGACACUUUUCUGUGUUUCAACUUUCGACCCAAGCAAUUACAUUUUAUAUUUCUCAAAUCUAUCAAUUAUAUUGAUUUCUAAAGACUCAAAAUAUAAAAAUCUUAUAUUAUCUACACUAUAUAUUAUAUUAUUAGUUGUAUAACCAAAAGUUGUACCAUCGGGUCUAGGAAAAUGUUGAAAAUUGAUACUCACCCCUAUUUAAAUGAAGUUAUAGAUAUAUUUGCGUUAUAAAUGUAAAUUGUAAGGAUAAUAUAAAAUAAUUUAUUACAUUGCCUUUAAGCACUAAUUAUAAAAUUUUAAAGAAUAUGAAAAGGAAGUCAUUUAAUGAAAUAGGAUACUAAUGCCUACACAUUAUCCUUUAUAAAAAUGCAUUGAAUUUUAUACUCUGUCUGCCCUAAAUACUAGUAUAGCAAGACAAACUUGUGGGUUGUCCAAUAUAAUUUCAUACAUAAAUGAAUAAUAAUAAAAUUCCAUAAGUAUAAAAUUAUAUAAAGACAGAAAGUUGUAUCAUAACUAAGGGUAGAAACAUGUCAGACCGUCUAUCAGUGGCCUAUUACCUUACCUAUAAUAAGUUAGUCAGGUUAGGCUUUUUCACGAACAGGCCAGACUUUUUUCACGAACAAGUCAGACUCAGACUUUCUAAAAAGCUUACUUAGUUUAACAGAUCAGACUUUAGGCCACCUAAAAGGUCUGUUAAUCCUAACAGAUCAGCCUAUUUAGUUAUAUUAGAUAAGAAUGUUGAAAUUAUACUAUUUUAAUAUAAGUAAUAUUAUUAUAUAUGUAAUACUAGUAUAAAAAUAUAAUUAAUAUCCUUUCCAUGCUUUUUCUUGAUCAAUUUAAUGAAGUAAUCCAUUAUUCUAUGAUCAAAGUCUUCACCUGGAAAAGGAUGGAAAAAUAGCGGGCAUUAACAGCCGAAGGAAAAGUUCAUGGAAAUAUAGUUCUUCAAUGUAGGUUCAUGUUAUUAUGACUUAAAUAAGAAAGCACUCACCUCCGAGAUGAGUAUCUCCAUUUGUAGAAAGCACCUCAAAAACACCAUUAUCAAUUGUCAAGAUACUGACAUCAAAUGUUCCACCCCCAAGAUCAAAGACAAGAAUGUUCUUCUCGCCACCUUUCUUGUCCAAUCCAUAAGCAAUAGCAGCGGCUGUGGGUUCAUUAAUAAUUCUAGCAACAUUAAGACCGGCAAUCACACCAGCAUCCUUGGUGGCCUGCCUCUGAGCGUCAUUGAAAUAAGCUGCACAUUUCAAAGAAAAGCAAGAGGAUUAGAAUGAAUACAAAAGCGCGGCAAGAAAACAUUAAACAUGGAACUACCAUUAAUUGCAAUUUGCUCCACUUACCAGGGACAGUGACCACAGCAUCAUUAAUUUUCUUCCCGAGGAAUGCUUCAGCAGUUUCCUUCAUCUUGACCAGAAUCAUGGCACUGAUUUCCUCAGGGCUGAAGACCUUGGUCUCACCGUCCUUAAUUUUCACCUGGAUGUAAGGUUUUCCAUCCUUGUUCACAAUCUUGUAAGGAACAAGCUUCAUGUCCUUUUGAACUUCCUUAUCUUCGAACCUACAAAAGGAUACGCCUAAGUCAACUUUAUUAUCAUCAAAUCAAAUCAUCAUAAGCCAAUGAGUCGAGGAUGCCUUACUUUCUUCCGAUAAGUCUCUUGACAUCAAAGAUGGUCCUUUCAGGGUUGACAGCGGCCUGAUUCUUGGCAGCCUCCCCGAUCAGUCUCUCACCAUCGGUGAACCCAACCCACGACGGGGUGAUACGGUUACCUUGAUCAUUGGCUAUGAUUUCCACAUGGCCAUUCUUGUAAACACCAACACAUGAAUAGGUUGUUCCAAGAUCUAUCCCAAUUACAGUUCCCAAUUUUGUAGCUUCCUCCUUCGCAAUGGAAAUUGCAAAUAGACAUCCUGUGAUAAAACCUCUAAAGGUUAAUUACAAUAUUAAAACUCACCCUAGUAAAAUUGAUUUCAAAUGAAUUGUGUAAUUGCUUUACAUCAACACAUUAUUCUAAAAUAUAUAUAUUUUU